rnacentral:rRNA from 1 species
UGAGGAAUUUUGCGCAAUGGGCGAAAGCCUGACGCAGCAACGCCGCGUGACUGAUUAAGCUCUGAGGAGUGUAAAAGUCUGUCGUAGAGGAAGAAACUAUCCGAUAAGAAUAUUGUCGGAUACUGACGGUACUCUAUGAGAAAGCUCCGGCUAACUCCGUGCCAGCAGCCGCGGUAAUACGGGGGGUAGCAAGCGUUGUCCGGAAUCACUGGGCGUAAAGAGCGCGUAGGCGUCCUAAUAAGUUUCUGGUGAAAUACUCCUGCUCAACGGGAGAAUUGCUGGAGAUACUGUUAGGAUUGAGUUUAGAAGAGGGAAGCGGAAUUCCUGGUGUAGCGGUGAAAUGCGUAGAUAUCAGGAAGAACACCGAUGGCGAAGGCAGCUUCCUAGUCUAACACUGACG